UUCCUGUACUUGGUGUUACUGCGAAGGGGGGACGGAGAAGGCUAUGUUGGCCGGGCGACGGUUGUCCCGGUUUAAGCGUGUAGGCUGGUUUUCCAGGCAAAUCCGGAAAAUCAAGGCUGAGGCGUGAUGACGAGGCACUACGGUGCUGAAGCAACAAAUGCCCUGCUUCCAGGAAAAGCCUCUAAGCAUCAGGUAACAUCAAAUCGUACCCCAAACCGACACAGGUGGUCAGGUAGAGAAUACCAAGGCGCUUGAGAGAACUCGGGUGAAGGAACUAGGCAAAAUGGUGCCGUAACUUCGGGAGAAGGCACGCUGAUAUGUAGGUGAAGUCCCUCGCGGAUGGAGCUGAAAUCAGUCGAAGAUACCAGCUGGCUGCAACUGUUUAUUAAAAACACAGCACUGUGCAAACACGAAAGUGGACGUAUACGGUGUGACGCCUGCCCGGUGCCGGAAGGUUAAUUGAUGGGGUUAGCGCAAGCGAAGCUCUUGAUCGAAGCCCCGGUAAACGGCGGCCGUAACUAUAACGGUCCUAAGGUAGCGAAAUUCCUUGUCGGGUAAGUUCCGACCUGCACGAAUGGCGUAAUGAUGGCCAGGCUGUCUCCACCCGAGACUCAGUGAAAUUGAACUCGCUGUGAAGAUGCAGUGUACCCGCGGCAAGACGGAAAGACCCCGUGAACCUUUACUAUAGCUUGACACUGAACAUUGAGCCUUGAUGUGUAGGAUAGGUGGGAGGCUUUGAAGUGUGGACGCCAGUCUGCAUGGAGCCGACCUUGAAAUACCACCCUUUAAUGUUUGAUGUUCUAACGUGGACCCGUAAUCCGGGUUGCGGACAGUGUCUGGUGGGUAGUUUGACUGGGGCGGUCUCCUCCUAAAGAGUAACGGAGGAGCACGAAGGUUGGCUAAUCCUGGUCGGACAUCAGGAGGUUAGUGCAAUGGCAUAAGCCAGCUUGACUGCGAGCGUGACGGCGCGAGCAGGUGCGAAAGCAGGUCAUAGUGAUCCGGUGGUUCUGAAUGGAAGGGCCAUCGCUCAACGGAUAAAAGGUACUCCGGGGAUAACAGGCUGAUACCGCCCAAGAGUUCAUAUCGACGGCGGUGUUUGGCACCUCGAUGUCGGCUCAUCACAUCCUGGGGCUGAAGUAGGUCCCAAGGGUAUGGCUGUUCGCCAUUUAAAGUGGUACGCGAGCUGGGUUUAGAACGUCGUGAGACAGUUCGGUCCCUAUCUGCCGUGGGCGCUGGAGAACUGAGGGGGGCUGCUCCUAGUACGAGAGGACCGGAGUGGACGCAUCACUGGUGUUCGGGUUGUCAUGCCAAUGGCACUGCCCGGUAGCUAAAUGCGGAAGAGAUAAGUGCUGAAAGCAUCUAAGCACGAAACUUGCCCCGAGAUGAGUUCUCCCUGACUCCUUGAGAGUCCUGAAGGAACGUUGAAGACGACGACGUUGAUAGGCCGGGUGUGUAAGCGCAGCGAUGCGUUGAGCUAACCGGUACUAAUGAACCGUGAGGCUUAACCUUAC
rnacentral:rRNA from 1 species